GAAAGGGAUAGAAAGGAAAGCAGAGGCCCUCGCGGAAAGAUAAAAGAAAAUGAAAAGCACAGCUGGCUUAGACCAAUAGACAGAGUAGGACCACGAGAGGUCAUUUUUUACGUAAGGAAUAGGCUCUAGGAAAGCUGCCUGGAAAAGUAGGAAUGAAAGCAGAAUGCUUACCGGCUUCGAAAGAUAGGACUGCGAGACUUGGGCAUGAAGGAGAGUUCCCGCUAUCCCAUAGGGGUUUGACAGAUCCUCAUACACCAAUAUGGCCUUCUAGCCAGAACAGACACAUCAUGCAGACCUUCUGGCCAG
rnacentral:lncRNA from 1 species